rnacentral:rRNA from 1 species
GGAAUCUUCCACAAUGGGCGCAAGCCUGAUGGAGCAACACCGCGUGAGUGAAGAAGGGUUUCGGCUCGUAAAGCUCUGUUGUUAGAGAAGAACGUGCGUGAGAGUAACUGUUCACGCAGUGACGGUAUCUAACCAGAAAGUCACGGCUAACUACGUGCCAGCAGCCGCGGUAAUACGUAGGUGGCGAGCGUUGUUCGGAUUUAUUGGGCGUAAAGGGUCUGUAGGAGGUUUGCUAAAUGCGGGGUGAAAUCCGGGAGCUCAACUCCCGAACUGCCUUGUAGACUGGCAGACUAGAGUACUGGAGAGGUAAGCGGAAUACCAAGUGUAGCGGUGGAAUGCGUAGAUAUUUGGUAGAACACCAAGAGCGAAGGCAGCUUGCUGGACAGAUACUGACUCUGAAAGACGAAAGCGUGGGUAGCAAACA